UCUUUAUGUUAUCGUGCCCUCACCGACCAACCCGAGGUUGUCCGUGAGGGACUUUAUUCUGUCAUGCCCUCACCGACCAACCCGAGGUUGUUCGUGAGGGUCUUUAUUGUCAUGCCCUCACCGAGCAACCCGAGGUUGUCCGUGAGGGACUUUAUAAUGUCGUGCUCCAAAAAAUGUUCCUAUCUGACUUUACACGGUGAAAGGGUCUGUGUCAAUGAACUACCUGCAUCGGUUUCCGACACAUUUCACCGCGAGAGGCGCUUCAAGCAUACCAUAACUCUAUCGGAAACUAAUGGAAACUACGACAUGUUCCAUUAAAUUCCAACAGAUGGCGACACGAUAGUGUAUACAAGUCUACAGUGAUUGCACUAAACUAGGGACGAUAGUAUUUUAAUGAAUUUUUGUUACUUAUUGAAUUUUAAAUGGAAAUUUUAAAGACCUUUUAGUGCAUUGUUUCCAAUAUCUAUUGUAUUUUUUUAUAAAACACACCACAUGUAAUUAUUUUUGUUAAAAAUGAGCUUUUCAAAUGAUUAAAUAUUUUAUUUUGUUCCGAAAAUGGUGCAGUACGGUAAAGCUGCCGAUGGAAAAAAAUGACAGCUCAUUUGUGUGGGCAGCGGGCAGCCGAACAACGUACUGUAAACACAAGAAUCGUGAACAAACUGAAACGCAAGCAUUUUGGUAGAGUUCCGCGGGUGAUAAAAAGCAUAAAAACAUGUUUUAUGGAAGAACGCGCGAUGCGGAAAUAUGCAAAUACUUUGCCAUUGGUGUCCUGAAGGUGGAAAGCAGAUCGAUUAACAAGUGCCUCCGAGAAUCCAAACAGUCUAAACUGACUGGAAUCGAAACGAUAGAACCGUUCAACCAUCUUACAAGUACCAGGAACGUUGACCCAGGAGCGGCCCAAGUUCAAAGGAACGAGCAAAGUGGUAGUGAAGAACUUUAAGAUCCGGAACUGAUGCUGGUGUUUCCACCGACGUUGCUUCAAUCUCUGGCUGUGGAUAAGCUUGACAUAUUACCUGGAUAGGGCUUACCGGUACAAUCUGUGGCAUGACGGACGUGUUCCAAUCACACCGACAGUGUAUAAUAGAACUGUACGUGGUACGCUGAACCAUUGCCCCUUCACAUUUUGGACAUCUACGAACCGGUUCAUUCAUCGACGACUGCUGGUAGUCCGACUGCUAUUGAAAGCAAGUGAGCAGAAAAUAAAACGAUUCUUGUUGAAAAAUGAAUAAAAUCAAUAUAAAAGUUAUUGUAAAUAUACAAU